GACGAACGCUGGCGGCGUGCUUAACACAUGCAAGUCGAACGGAAAGGCCCUGCUUUUGUGGGGUGCUCGAGUGGCGAACGGGUGAGUAAAACGUGAGUAAACUGCCCUUGACUUUGGGAUAACUUCAGGAAACUGGGGCUAAUACCGGAUAGGAGCUCCUGCUGCAUGGUGGGGGUUGGAAAGUUUCGGCGGUUGGGGAUGGACUCGCGGCUUAUCAGCUUGUUGGUGGGGUAGUGGCUUACCAAGGCUUUGACGGGUAGCCGGCCUAAGAGGGUGACCGGCCACAAUGGGACUACGAUACGGCCCAGACUCCUACUGGAGGCAGCAGUGGGGAAUAUUGCCCAAUGGGCGGAAGCCUGAGGCAACAACGCCGCGUGCGGGAUGACGGCCUUCGGGUUGUAAACCGCUUUCGCCUGUGACGAAGCGUGAGUGACGGUAAUGGGUAAAGAAGCACCGGCUAACUACGUG
rnacentral:rRNA from 1 species